UACGUAGGCAGCGAGCGUUGUUCGGAAUUACUGGGCGUAAAGAGUGUGUAGGCGGCGCUCUAAGUUCGGUGUGAAAUCUCCCGGCUUAACUGGGAGGGUGCGCCGAAGACUGCGAUGCUGGAGUAUGGGAGAGGAAAGCGGAAUUCCUGGUGUAGCGGUGAAAUGCGUAGAUAUCAGGAGGAACACCUGCGGUGUAGACGGCUUUCUGGACCAUUACUGACACUGAGACACGAAAGCGUGGGUAGCAAACAGG
rnacentral:rRNA from 1 species